rnacentral:piRNA from 1 species
UGGACAGGAACUCAAAGGUGUCACUGG